CGAAAUGUCAACUCCGCUCAGCGGCCGGGUCCUAGCCUAGGAGAAAGAAACGGAGGUCUCUUCGUCUCCCUCACUCGCUUGCUCACCAGCAGAAAAGAUAAGCCAUAUACUGGGAGAAAAUAUUUGCAAAAGCCUUGGUUGAAUGGACAGACUCUCUUAAUGGAUUUGGCAAUAACCUGAAUAGAACAUGCUUUGGAAGAAACACAAUUCUGAUUUUUAUGGUAUG